rnacentral:rRNA from 1 species
UAGGGAAUCUUCGGCAAUGGACGAAAGUCUGACCGAGCAACGCCGCGUGAGUGAAGAAGGUUUUCGGAUCGUAAAACUCUGUUGUUAGAGAAGAACAAGGACGUUAGUAACUGAACGUCCCCUGACGGUAUCUAACCAGAAAGCCACGGCUAACUACGUGCCAGCAGCCGCGGUAAUACGUAGGUGGCAAGCGUUGUCCGCAUUUAUUGGGCGUAAAGCGAGCGCAGGCGGUUUCUUAAGUCUGAUGUGAAAGCCCCCGGCUCAACCGGGGAGGGUCAUUGGAAACUGGGGGACUUGAGUGCAGAAGAGGAGAGUGGAAUUCCAUGUGUAGCGGUGAAAUGCGUAGAUAUAUGGAGGAACAACAGUGGCGAAGGCGGCUCUCUGGUCUGUAACUGACGCUGAGGCUCGAAAGCGUGGGGAGCAAACAGG